rnacentral:rRNA from 1 species
UACGAAGGGGGCUAGCGUUGUUCGGAAUUACUGGGCGUAAAGCGUGCGCAGGCGGCUUCUCAAGUCAGGGGUGAAAGCCCAGAGCUCAACUCUGGAAUUGCCUUUGAGACUGAGUGGCUUGAGUACGAGAGAGGUGAGUGGAAUUCCCAGUGUAGAGGUGAAAUUCGUAGAUAUUGGGAAGAACACCGGUGGCGAAGGCGGCUCACUGGCUCGUAACUGACGGUCAUGCACGACAGCGUGGGGAUCAAACAGG